UGAACAUAACCAAAGGUGGUCUGGUGUU
rnacentral:piRNA from 1 species